rnacentral:rRNA from 1 species
AGACUCCUACGGGAGGCAGCAGUGGGGAAUAUUGCACAAUGGGCGAAAGCCUGAUGCAGCAAUGCCGCGUGUGUGAAGAAGGCCUGCGGGUUGUAAAGCACUUUUAUCAGGAAAGAAAAAACCGGAACUAAUAUUUCCGGCAUUGACGGUACCUGAAGAAUAAGCACCGGCUAACUAAGUGCCAGCAGCCGCGGUAAUACUUAGGGUGCGAGCGUUAAUCGGAAUUACUGGGCGUAAAGCGAGUGUAGGCGGCUGUAUAAGUCGGAUGUGAAAGCCCUGGGCUCAACCUGGGAAUUGCAUUCGAAACUGUACAGCUAGAGUUUGGUAGAGGUAAGUGGAAUUCAAGGUGUAGCGGUGAAAUGCGUAGAUAUCUUGAGGAACAUCAGUGGCGAAGGCGGCUUACUGGACCAAAACUGACGCUGAGGCUCGAAAGCGUGGGGGAGCAAACAGGAUUAGAUACCCUGGUAGUCCACGCCCUAAACGAUGUCAACUAGACGUUGGGUUCAUUAAGGAACUUAGUGUCGAAGCUAACGCGUUAAGUUGACCGCCUGGGGAGUACGGCCGCAAGGUUGAAACUCAAAGGAAUUGACGGGGGCCCGCACAAGCGGU